UAGGGUUCUAAUAUUUAUGCGCUAUUUAACUGAUAAUAUAAUGUGGGCAUUUGGUCUAGUGGUAUGAUUCUCGCUUAGGGUGCGAGAGGUCCCGAGUUCAAUUCUCGGAAUGCCCCA